UAGCAAUACGGCAGCGGCAGACGGGAGAGUAACACGUGGGAACGCGCCCUUCGGUUCGGGAUAACUCAGGGAAACUUGGGCUAAUACCGGAUACGCCCUUACGGGGAAAGAUUUAUUGCCGAAGGAACGGCCCGCGUCCGAUUAGCUUGUUGGUGAGGUAACGGCUCACCAAGGCGACGAUCGGUAGCUGGUCUGAGAGGAUGACCAGCCUCACUGGGACUGAGACACGGCCCAGACUCCUACGGGAGGCAGCAGUGGGGAAUAUUGGACAAUGGGCGCAAGCCUGAUCCAGCCAUGCCGCGUGAGUGAUGAAGGCCCUAGGG
rnacentral:rRNA from 1 species